GGGGGCUUUAACUAGUUCAUGUCUGAUUCAUGUCAAUCAAAAUAUGAUUACUUUCUUUACUUUACAUGCAUUUGGCAAUCCUCUGUCAUCCUGAUCAUAAACUCCCCCCUGGCCAGAAAGCAGAGAUGGAAACUAUCAUGACAUAGUAACCAGGCUAACAGAGUAAUAUGAAAAUUUGUAAGCGGACUUACAUGGACUUCAGUAUAAUAAAGGUUCUGAAAAGUCAAUUUUUUUGUUCAAUGAAUGCAUUUAAUUUAUAGCGGAAUUACAACAGCGUUGAACCCUUUCAGUCAUCUUAGGGACAGUGAGGAGACAAGAUAAGUCAGAGAAAUCUACACUAGUGUCAUGGUCUUGAUGUGCAGUUUCAAUGGGCAUGCCGACCCCGAGUGUCAACCCAAAUUAGUAACACUGUCACACUUCAAUAUUUUGGUUUGAAACUUGGAUUGCAAAUCACUCACUUAUUGGGCAAAGUUCCUUCCACAGUACGAACACAGUGCAAAUUCACAGGUUAUUCAUAAAACUUAGGGACACAUAAUAUAUGCUAAAAAAAAGGUGUUUUAAUAGCUUAUUAAUCUAUACAAUAUAUAACUUCCCCUUUAAACAAUACCAUUUACUUCUGCUCCAUAUCUUCCCAGAGUUGCUUCAUCUUCUACUUGGUGGACUACAAGCCCCUCAGGUUUAAAUGGUGGUACGUGUAGCCAGACUGGGCCUUUGCACUGGGCUGGGCCAUGGCCCUCUCCUCCAACCUCCUGGUGCCACUGUGAUCGAUUGGCAGGAUCUAUGUUGGCACAGGCCGCCUCAGGCAGAUUUAGGAUACUACUGAGGAGAUUACCAUUGUGGGAGCCAGGAGGAGGAAAGCCAAGAGGACAAUUCAGACCCAGAGCUGAGGUGGCUCCAAAAAACCCAGCAACUCAAGGCCCUGGAGUAUGCCAGGUGCAUCCUGCGGCCCAAGGUGGCGCCCCUGCCUCAGCAGACCAAGACCAGACAGCCAGAGUGGGCCCAGGGGCCACACUCGCCUCCUGGAGGGCUUCGACAUAUCCCAGCUGGCCACACUGGAGGCCCUGAGGAAACGGCGAGAGCAGGAGAAACAGACCGUGGCCCACUUCAAGGUGGUGCACACCAUCUGACACUACAUCGGCCCAGUUACUUUAUAACACACAGGAGUCACGCAACAACAGGUUUCCCCUUACAGCUGACACGGCCAUUAAACUUUUGGGGAAAGGCAGUAUAUGGACUAUAUAGACAAUAUGGAGGAAUAAGCAGGGAAAUAUUGCAGCAAUCGUUCAUUCAUGCUUGUGUCAACUGCAAUUUGGCGUGUUACAGAGUAGCCUGUCUGUAUGUGGUUGUUGACAUAAGCAUUUACUGUAUGAAUGCAUUUUUACGACCAAUGAAGUUGUAG
rnacentral:lncRNA from 8 species